GGAGUUGUGAGCCCAGUGGUUGUGCAUGCUUUGUAUGUAUGAUGUCCUGGGUUCAAUACCCAGCUUCUCCU